rnacentral:lncRNA from 1 species
CGGAGGAGGUGGUCGGUCCGCUCCUGGUCCCUGUGUUUUUUGAGCCAAUGUGUACAGAUGCUGCUCCUGGUGGUCUGGUCCCGGACACACUCGCCUCAAGCCCCUGGGGGUCCGGUCCCGGCCACGCUCGUCUCUGCUCCUGGUGGCCCGGUCCCGGCCACGCCCGUCUCAGCUCCUGGUGGUCCGGUCCCGGACACGUUCGCCUCAGCUCCUGGUGGUCCGGUCCCGGACACGUUCGCCUCAGCUCCUGGUGGUCCGGCCCCGGACACGUUCGCCUCAGCUCCUGGUGGUCCGGUCCCGGACACACUCGCCUCAGCUCCUGGUGGUCCGGUCCCGGACACGUCUGUCUCCGCUCCUGGAGGCCCGGUGCCGGCCACGUCUGCAUCGGUUCCUGGUGGUCCGGCUCCGGCCACGUCUCCACGUCUGUCUUCGCCUCUGGUUCCUGCCUCGUCUCCACGUCUGUCUUCGCCUCUGGUUCCUGCCUCGUCUCCACGUCUGUCUUCGCCUCUGGUUCCUGCCUCGUCUCCACGUCUGUCUUCGCCUCUGGUUCCUGCCUCGUCUCCACGUCUGUCUUCGCCUCUGGUUCCUGCCUCGUCUCCACGUCUGUCUUCGCCUCUGGUUCCUGCCUUGUCUCCACGUCUGUCUUCGCCUCUGGUCCCAGCCUCGUCUCCACGUCUGUCCUCGGUCCCUGGUGGCCCGGCUCCGGCCAUGUCUCCACGUCUGUCCUCGUCUCUGGUCCCAGCCUUGCCUCCACGUCUGUCCUCGUCUCUGGUCCCAGCCUUGUCUCCACGUCUGUCCUCGUCUCUGGUCACAGCCUUGUCUCCACGUCUGUCCCCGUCGCCGUUCCCGGCUUCCCGCCGGCUCUCGCCUCACCUGCCCGACGGAGGGCCAGGUCCUUGGCGAAUCCUGUGGCAGGGAUGGCGAUGCCUCCUGCGUCGUCGGCCACGUCGGCUGGCCAGUUCCGGAGGCGUCCACCUACCGGGAGGUCGCUGUUUCCUGCCCCGACGAUGGCGCGGUCUCUGCCAUUGCCGACCGCCACGUCUUCUCAGCCCCG